rnacentral:lncRNA from 1 species
GAAGGAGGUACUCCUCAGAUCAUUCCUUAUCCAGAUAUGCCUACCAAUGUUGAAGAAUUGAAGAGAUCCUGGAUCCAGUUGAGAGAGGAAAGGGAUACUUUUGAAGCCCAGUUUUGUGCUGAAAGGAAGAAAGUGUUAGAGCUCACCAGCCAGCUUAAUGAGGAACGAAGACUCAAUGCAUAUCUUCGCCCAAAAAGAAGCCGUCCCUGGGAGACUUGAGCGUUC